rnacentral:rRNA from 1 species
UUGAACGCUGGCGGCAUGCCUUACACAUGCAAGUCGAACGGUAACAGGGAGCUUGCUCCGCUGACGAGUGGCGAACGGGUGAGUAAUGUAUCGGAACGUACCAUUCAGUGGGGGAUAACGUAGCGAAAGUUACGCUAAUACCGCAUAUUCUGUGAGCAGGAAGGCAGGGGAUCGCAAGACCUUGCGCUGAUUGAGCGGCCGAUAUCUGAUUAGCUAGAUGGUGAGGUAAAGGCUCACCAUGGCGACGAUCAGUAGCUGGUCUGAGAGGAUGAUCAGCCACACUGGGACUGAGACACGGCCCAGACUCCUACGGGAGGCAGCAGUGGGGAAUUUUGGACAAUGGGCGAAAGCCUGAUCCAGCCAUUCCGCGUGAGUGAAGAAGGCCUUCGGGUUGUAAAGCUCUUUCGGCAGGAACGAAACGGUGGGGUCUAAUACGCCUUACUAAUGACGGUACCUGAAGAAGAAGCACCGGCUAACUACGU